rnacentral:rRNA from 1 species
UACAGAGGUCUCAAGCGUUGUUCGGAUUCAUUGGGCGUAAAGGGUGCGUAGGUGGCGCCGUAAGUGGGGUGUGAAAUUUCGGAGCUUAACUCCGAAACUGCAUUCCAUACUGUGGUGCUUGAGGACUGGAGAGGAGACUGGAAUUUACGGUGUAGCAGUGAAAUGCGUAGAGAUCGUAAGGAAGACCAGUGGCGAAGGCGGGUCUCUGGACAGUUCCUGACACUGAGGCACGAAGGCCAGGGGAGCAAACGGG